CAGUAGCCACGGUAAUACGUAGGUGGCAAGCGUUGUCCGGAAUUAUUGGGCGUAAAGGGCUCGCAGGCGGUUUCUUAAGUCUGAUGUGAAAGCCCCCGGCUCAACCGGGGAGGGUCAUUGGAAACUGGGAAACUUGAGUGCAGAAGAGGAGAGUGGAAUUCCACGUGUAGCGGUGAAAUGCGUAGAGAUGUGGAGGAACACCAGUGGCGAAGGCGACUCUCUGGUCUGUAACUGACGCUGAGGAGCGAAAGCGUGGGGAGCGUACAGGAUUAGAUACCCCCGUAGUCCCUGUCUCUUAUAC
rnacentral:rRNA from 1 species